GGGGCACGCUGGGGGAGCGCUUGUGUGUCCUCCCCGAGGGGCGCGCGGGGAGGGAGCGGCCAACCUAGGUCCCGGGGCUUCAGGUGUGCGAGGGCGACGUGGGGCCGCGUGCGCCCCUCCCGGCCUCGGGGUCCGCCCCGCAAGUGCAGGGGCCCCCCAGGCGGAGUGCUGGGCGGGGGGGGGGGCUGCAGGGCGGCCGCGCCCCCAGGGGGCCCCUGCCGGGUACUUGCAGGCAGGCGGGAGGGGGGCCUCCUGGGAAGCCCAGUUCGGCCGCGGAGGCGUCCCGGUGUCCCGGAGGCGGCGGGCGGGCGCCUGCCCCCCCAGCCCCGCGCUGCCCCCGCCCCCGGCGGCCUCGGGCCCCUCCCGGCCGCGCCCCUGCACGAGCCUCCGGCCCACUUCCUGCCCCCGCCCCUCCGGCCCUGGCAGCACUUCCUCUGCAAAACCGGGCAGCCCCGGGCCCCGCAGGAAGUGCCCUCCCGGCCCGCCCUCCCCCGCUCCCCGCGGUGGCCGCUAGAGGCCUCCCCGCCUCGCCGACGCCGCCCCCGGGGACUCCGGGGCUGCGAAGAUGGGGGUCGGGGCCGUCCACCCGCCUCCCCGCGGCGCACGCGGCCUGCCCUGGCCCGAGGUGGUGUCUGUGCCCCAGCGCCGCCCGCCGCACCCCCCACCCCCACCCCCACCCCCGCGGCUCGGGGAUCCCCCCCCAGGCCCGGGGCAGCGUGCGUGCAGCGCCUCCCGCCCUCCCCCCGCGCCCGGGAAGAGCAGCCCGCGGCGCCCAUCAGCCCCACUCCGCUCGAGCCCCCCGGGGGUGAAGGCCGCCCGGCCCGCCUCUGCCCUCCUCCUCCCCCCUCUGACCCGUGGGAGGUCCUGCCCUCCCAGCACACACCGGUUACCCCGGGAUUUGCAUCCCAGUGGAUGCAAAUGACACGCCGGGGAGUCAGCUGGGCUCCGGGCUUUGAACUUGACCACAGCCAGCCUCUGCCCACACAGCCGGCACCCACACAGUUCAACUCAACCACACGCAUCCGCGUUGGCUGGGUGCCAGGCAGGGUGCCAGGACCCAGGGACACCCCAUGA
rnacentral:lncRNA from 12 species